rnacentral:rRNA from 1 species
AGAGCGAACGCUGGCGGCAGGCCUAACACAUGCAAGUCGAACGAACCCUUCGGGGUUAGUGGCGGACGGGUGAGUAACACGUGGGAACGUGCCUUUUGGUUCGGAAUAGCUCCUGGAAACGGGUGGUAAUGCCGAAUGUGCCCUUCGGGGGAAAGAUUUAUCGCCAUUAGAGCGGCCCGCGUCUGAUUAGCUAGUUGGUGAGGUAAAGGCUCACCAAGGCUACGAUCAGUAGCUGGUCUGAGAGGAUGACCAGCCACAUUGGGACUGAGACACGGCCCAAACUCCUACGGGAGGCAGCAGUGGGGAAUCUUGCGCAAUGGGCGAAAGCCUGACGCAGCCAUGCCGCGUGAAUGAUGAAGGUCUUAGGAUUAGGUAAAAUUCUUUACACCGGGGACGAAUAAUGACGGUACCCGGAGAAGAAGCCCCGGACUAACUUCGCGCCAGCAGCCGC